rnacentral:lncRNA from 1 species
GUAUAGGGCAGUCCAGUGAAUUCUUGGUAAUGAGCUUUUAGCACAAAGGACUUUGCAUGGGAAGACCCUGAGCUGCUGGAGUUUGAUUAGAGAGUUUUGCUGCCAUUCUUCGGGCCUUUGGCAAAGCUGUUUUCUGGUUAUCAGUAUUUACAUAGGUCUGUUCUACAACCUGGAGAAGACUCUCCCUCUCAGGUCCCCCUUGUCUUCUACAGCAGGUGAGUUGUUGCAGCAUCCAUGUACAUCUAGCUCACCACGCUCUGGCUGUAGUGUUUAUUAGCCUCGUUAUGUUUGUACCAACCCUACACUCCCUGAAGAUUCAAUUCCAGGGGAAGGUUCUGUAUGAAGUUGUCUACCUCCCCUCCCACUGACAAGAAAAAAAUCCAGGGAGAUGGCUUGGAAAAGUCUGUUCCCUGCUACCAAUAAUAUCUGGGUAUUCCUUCAUUCUUCCCUUUUAAGAUCGGGAUGUGAAAAGCUCUCACUUUUUUCCCCACAAGAUAGAACCAGAUGACAGAUACUUGAGGGCCCAGUUGACCAUUUUGGAACAGCUUUUGGCAUUCCUGUCAUGCAGAAAUUGGACUUCUAACCCAAAGACAAAACAAUACUCUGCCUAAGAGAUAUAAAUAAGUAAUGUUUCAUGUGUUUAUUGCCAACAUUUCAAGUACUUAGGCAGAAUUAGGCAUUUUCCUUUGAUUUUUACUUUUUAUUUUGUUUGUUUGUUUUUUUGAGACAGAGUCUUGCUCUGUCGCCAAGGCUGGAGUGCAGUGGUGCAAUCUCGGCUCACUGCAAGCUCCGCCUCCCAGGUUCAUGUCAUUCUCCUGCCUCAGCCUCCUGAGUAGCUGGGACUACAGGUGCCCAUCACUACGCCCAGCUAAUUUUUUGUAUUUUUUUUAGUAGAGACGGGAUUUCACCAUGUUGGCCAGGAUGGUCUCCAUCUCCUGACCUCAUGAUCCACCUGCCUCGGCCUCCCAAAGUGCUGGGAUUACAGGCGUAAGCCACCGUGCCCAGCCUCUUUUGUUCUUUUUGUACCUGUCAGGUUUUUUUCUAUUCAUUGCAGAUAAUAUUGUUGGCUUGUUAAUUCGAUCAUUAUUUUCAGAGUUGUUUAAAUGAAGAGGAAACCUUGUAUUAUAAGGCAAAUCCCGAUGUAUAUAAUAUCAGCAUAAAAGUACGUUUGUAAUCUGUCAAAUUCAGUGCUUUUUAACGUGUUUUCUUCAUUAUAUACAUCUUAUAUACAUACAUAAAUACAUACAUAUAUAUACAUAAAUACAUAAAUAUAUGCGUAUUUCCCUGAAUAGACAUAAAAGCAUAUCUUCAGUAUAUAUUCUAGAAUGAGAGAAAAAUUAAGGGUAGAAGAUACCUUAGCACUCAUGUGAGGGAAAAACAGAGGUGCCCAGAAAUGAAUUGUUUUUUCCAGGGUCAUGAUGACUCAUGGCAGACCCAAAAUUAGCAGCCUGGCCUCCUUGUGUCUAUUCCAUGUAGGAUGCAGCACAGCUCUCCUGGGAGAUGUGCAAAUUGGUACCAC